GGGUCGUAAGGUCUCACCCUUGAAGCAUGGGUUUGAUUCUUUCGGAGUUGGUUCAUUUUUGUGAAGCUUCGUGCAAGCAUCCGUACCAUGACUUCUCUUUUGAGCCAAAUCAAACCAAUGGGAUUGUUUUGCUAUAUUUUAAACUGAAGGGACUAUUUUUGUAACGAUUUAAUUCAAGAGGGAUUAUUUUGUAAUUUCAAACAAGUGGAGGUGCUGGUUUGUAAUUUCAUGAACAAAUUGGGAUUGUUUUGGUUAAUAAAUACCAGGGAAGGGGUUGUUUGUGGAUAAAUGGAAUCACUUUUUGGGAAUUGGGACCUAUUUUGAAUAAAGAAUUUAACAAUGGGGGCAUUUUAGUCAUUUCAUAAUUAAAAUGACUUUGGGUUUUAAGUCCCAUGUUUAAUGGUCCACUUAAAAAAAGAAUUUGGGGAUUGGGACCUAUUUUGAAUAAACAAUUUAACAAUGGGGGCAUUUUAGUCAUUUCAUAAUUAAAAUGACUUUGGGUUUUAAGUCCCGUGUUUAAUGGUCCACUUAAAAAAAGAAUUUGGGGAUUGGGACCUAUUUUGAAUAAACAAUUUAACAAUGGGGGCAUUUUAGUCAUUUCAUAAUUAAAAUGACUUAGGGUUUUAAGUCCCGUGUUUACGUUUGAUUGAGCAAAUAGGAAGAACGACAACAGACAAACGAAGAGAGGAAAACGAAAGCUCGUAAGCGGCAAAUCCGGAGGUCUUGGGUCGAUGGAUCGUAAAGGGAGUGUCUCCGAGGGUUAAACGAGGCCGAAGGGGAAAAUGGUUGAAGCAGUGAGGCUUCCCUCUUCUCGUUCGGCUGCGGGGAGCGAAUUCCGGGUUUCGCAAGCAGCAAUAGCUUCGAAGCAAGCGAGGUUUCCGGAGGUUUUGCUGGACCGGAGAAGGGGAUAUGUGCGAGAGGUUCAAUCAGUGGGAAGGAGGGGUUGCGAUGGGGCAAAGAAAUCAGCGACGGCAGGGGUGGUUUGGACCUGCCUUGAAAUCGACGAAGGGAAGAGGUCAGAAGAGGGGUCCGAUAAGAGAUAUGCACUCGCAAUCGAUUGAGCUGCUGAGAGGGAAGGGGAAGUGCGAGAGGCGGUGACAGGUGCGUGAAUGAGGGCUGCUCCGGCAGCGCCCCUGAUCUUCUUCUUUCUCUCUUCUUCUUUUUUUUUUUUUUUUUUUUUUUAUAUGUUUUNGUGUUCAUCUUGAACAGGUGGAGAAAGGGGGUUGACUGGAACAUAUGGCGAACAGGGGGGUGUUUGCCUCGUGGUCUUCGAUGGAAGGACGGGUGUUUUGCUGAAACGGGGACUGAAAAAGAAGGCAAACACGAAGAGUUCCUUUUUUUUUUCUUUUUUUUUCUGAAUCUGAUCAAUUUUUAUGCUCAAGAGUUUAAUUGUUGUUUGAUUGCUUGUGAAUCAGUUAUAUACCACACAGUAUUUUCCUCAUACCUGUGUGUGAGCUGUAAUACAGGCGAAAAAUGUGGGAAGAAAAGAAAAUAGUGGAGUGCAAGAAUUCAUUUCCUUUUUGAGUGUUUCUUUGUAUAAAAUGAACUUGGAAGAAACUAUUACCUUGGCUGUCGAAUUUUACUUCAUAAUUGAUGUGAUUAUUUGACUUUAUAUGUUAUGUGUUUAAUUUGUGCGUUGAUUUGUACAUUUGAUUCAAUGGGUAUGUAUUUGGUUGAUGUAGGGUAUUUAUUGAGGAUAAUGACUUGAAAGGGUAACGAACUUUCGACUUUUGUCACAUUUAAUCACUAAAUUUUUUUUCGUUAUCUAUUUGCCAUUGAACUAUUAAAACUGUUCACAUUUUACCCUUAUGACCGGCUGUUGCCGGUUAUAAGGGUAAAAUGUGAACAGUUUCAAUAGUUCAAUGGCAAAUAGAUAACGAAAAAAAGUUUAGUGACUAAAUAUGAACAAAAUCGAAAGUUCGUUUCCCUCUAAAAAGUUCAAUGACUAAAUGUGAACAAACUUUCUCUUGUAUUAUGUUUUAGCAAAUUNAAAGGUUAAAAAAAUUUUUUUAAAAAAAAAGUAAAAAAAAAAAAAAAAAAAAAAAAAAAAAAAAAAAAAAAAAAAAAAAAACAGAACCCUGAAAAUAUAUUUAAAAAAAAAAAACAAAAAACCAAAACCGAAAUAAAAAACCAAGGGCUUGACAUUUUCCAAAAUAAAAAAUCAAAAUUUCAAUAUGAUUUUGGUUUUACAAAAAAAUGAACCAUUCUCACUGAUGUGAAUUAUGACCAUUAGUUUGGCAUGCGGAAUUUGUGACAUCCCAUGAAUAUGUAGUUACAACACCGUCUAAACUCGUAAUUCAUAGUAAGGGGUUAGAGUAUCAUCGCAUGAAUACGUAGUUACAACAUCGCCUGAACUCGUAAUUCAUCACCUACAGGUUAUGGGCCUGCUGGUGUUUCCACUGAGUUGUCUAGAAUAGUCUGUGGUCGCCAUCUAUACUCUGGUAGAUGACUACAUCGCCACAUUGCUGGUUAAGGUUAUGGUAUCUCCUUUCAUCCUACAUCACAUAUUCAUCAUCAUCUAUUUACCUAAUUAUCAUCACCUUUCUAUCAUCAUCUAUCUCUCAUCAUUUUAUUUCAUCACACACCAACUAUUUCAUCUACCCAUGUUUCAUCCGCAACAUAUUUGUAGAUAUAAAAUAAAUAUACCGUUUAAAUCUUUUAAAACAUGUAUAAAAUCGUUCAUCCAGCAUAGACAACAAGUAUUCAAAUAAUAUGCACACAUAGCACGUAAUUUAUAUAAAAUACUUCAUAUCUAUGUGUAAGAUGAAAGUAACUAUAUAUACCAUAAAAAUCCCAUAAAUGCUUCCUAACUUCGAACCCCAAGGUUUACUCUACUAAAGCUUCAUAUUCUCGGCUCUCUGGACCUAGAAGGGUCCAGAUCUAUCACACCAAAAAGCUCAAGAUAGCUCUUCCUCUCACUCUACACACUCAAGCUCGCUAGGGUUCUCACUUAUGGGAAAGGUAGUCGCAAUUGAAGGCCAUAAGUGCCUUUAAAUAUGGCUCGGGCCCAAAGAUUUAGGGUUUCUGCCAACAACGCGGACUCGUCGAGUCGCCUCACCGACUCGUCGAGUCCAUUCAUUAAUCCGAGUCAUCAGUCGCGACCUUACUCGACGAGUUGAGGCGUCAACUCGUCGAGUCUCUCAUCUUAACUCAAAAGAAAAAUACUUAAAUUAUGAUAUCUGGAAAUCCGGAUGUUACAUUUUGUUUUUUUAUUUCAUAGAUUUCUUCAUCAACAAAUGUUGCUACAAUUAAACAAAAAUAAAUAAUUUGCUAAAACAUAAUACAAUAGGAAGUUUGUUCACAUUUAGUCAUUGAACUUUUUAGAGGGAAACGAACUUUCGAUUUUGUUCACAUUUAGUCACUACACUUUUUUUCGUUAUCUAUUUGCCACUAAACUAUUGAAACUGCUCACAUUUUACCCUUAUGACUGGUAACAGCCGGUCAUAAGGGUAAAAUAUGAACAGUUUCAAUAGUUCAAUGGCAAAUAGAUAACGAAAAAAAGUUUAGUGACUAAAUGUGACAAAAGUCGAAAGUUCGUUACCCUUUCAAGUCAUUAUCCCGUAUUUAUUGAUGUAUAUUCAAGUUAUACUAGAUGUGUGUCCACGCAAAGCGGCAGCGCUAAAUAGUUUUUUUGGCGAAUAGUUUUCUUAGGUGAAAAUAAUUAUUAGAUUUUGUUAUUAGUUAUUAUAUAAUAAGAAAAAUUACCACUUUUAACAAAAAUAUUUAUGUUUAAAACUUAUAUUUUUAUUGUAUGUUUAUACAUUUGAUGUAAAUUAAUUCUUAUCUAUAUCUAGUUUAAGAAUUGUAAUUUAACUUAUAUUGAUGAAUUUAAUAUUUUAAAAUUGUGGUUUUGCUCCAAAUUUAUUUUUUAAUAACCUUCCUUAAAUCAAGUCUUCAAAAUUUUGGUAAGUAUUAAUGGUUUUGUUAUGUAUAAUUGAUUUGUACAAAAAACUUUAUAUCUUGUAACCUCUUAAAAUUCAAGAUAUGACUAAUAUGUUUUAUAUAUAUAUAUAUANGGUAUGCAUUUUUUGGAGUUUUAGUCCAAACCAUGAUUUUUUUUUAGCUUCGUUGUCCUUUUGGACUAGUUUGUAUGCGAAGAUAGUUUCUCUGAAAAUUGAAAUGACUAUAAUACCCUUGGGGUAUUUAUUUUUCAUUUUUCUUUCAUUUUCUUUAAAUUUAAUAUUUAUUUAUUUAUUUUAACAAUUAAAAAAUAAUAGAAGACAUCUCUCUCUCUCUCUCUCUCUCUCUCUCUCUCUCUCAUACCCGCCUGCUGCAACCAUGGAUUCCCAUUUCUCUUAUCUUCAAUGCUCAACCAAUCUUUAAUAACCUAGAGAAAACUAUAUUUUCAAAAUGAAAUCAUAAUGUAAAUGAAAAGACAGUUGGGGUGGAGUGGUAGAUCUAUGAGGGUGAUAGGAAGUGUUUUCGAUUGAAAAAAACACCCAAAUCAAAAUUAUAUCUGCAAGUAUGUAUCAGCAAAAUUGAUCAAAAAUAGGUAUCUCCAUUCACGAUACUUCCUUUGUAACUGCCAACAAACUUGCUCGAUUCGAUACACACACUUGAUUGGGGUCCAAUACACACAUUUAAAAAUUGAAACACAUAUACACACAUUGAAGAACAUGAAAAUAGUAUGUCAACCCCUUUGAAAUAGGAAUCGCUCUAUUGGAUGGUUUUCUCAUCGACCGGUGUGAUUCACGAACCAAAUCCCACUCCCAUCCUUUCUGAAUACCUCUGUUGCACAUUUUUGCAGGUUUAGAACUUACAUGAGCAUAUUCCCAUAGUUACCCACCUACAAUUUGGGUCAAAUGAAUCUGAGCAAAAAAAAGGAAUCGAUUUCACCUCUAUACCACAAUUAACACCUCCGAUCAUAGUCAUCACCGGCCUCCACUUCAACAACCACCGGCAGCUGCGACACCAUCAAUCCAUACCAGAAACAAUAGCAACAAGGUCGCUUCCUUCCUUCCUCUCUCUAUCUCAAUCUCGAUUUCUCUUAAUGAUUGCUAAUAUACCCACAACAUAGAGGAGCAUAUCAUUUUUUAAUAACACAGUAAUGCAUGUUCAUCGAUUUUAGCUGCCAGAGAACUCAGAUUUGGCUGCUGAAUCUUUUCUAGCAACCCAGCAAGUCAAGCCACAGUGGAAGUUAAUAAAGCCACUACAUGUCGGUUUGAGCAUAAAUUUGAUGAGGUUUCCAAUCGAUUUGGGUGUUUUACUUUAGAGUGUGUAUGUAUGUGUGGGUUCUAUAGGAAGAAAGAAAAAGACAUGGGGAUAACAGAGAAAGAGGUCCAGAUCUGUGUGAGAGAGAGAGAGAGAAGGAGAGAGAGAGAGAGAGAGAGAGAGAGAGAAAGAGGGCCCACUUUUAUAUUUAAUAAUAAUAAUAAUGUUAAAAAGUGAAAGAAAAAUGAAAAAUAAAUUAUUUAAGGGUAUAAUAGUCUUUUUAGUUUGGAUAGGGACCAAAACUGCAAGCAAGGUAGCUUAAAAGGACCACCAACCCAAAAAAAUCAGGGUUUGGACUAGAACCCCAAAAAAAUAAAUACCAGAGGGAUCAUUUUUGCAAUUUUGUCAUUUAGGACUUUAUAAACAAUUCGCUUUUAUAUAUAGACAAAAUUGCAAAAAUGGUCCCUAUGGUAUGCAAAUUUUUGGGGUUUUAGUCCAAACCACGACUUUUUUGGAUUGGUGGUACCCUUGGGGUAUUUAUUUUUCAUUUUUCUUUCAUUUUUCGUAAAAUUUAAUAUUUAUUUAUUUAUUUUAAUAAUUAAAAAAAUAAUAGAGGACCCACCUCUCUCUCUCUCUCUCUCUCUCUUUCUCUCUCCUAACACUCAAGAACACCUUCAUAAACUUAAGAACACAUCUUCAUAAUCUCAAGAACACUCACAAACAUAUUCAUGAACUUAAGAAUAUCUUGCACAAUCACCACCCUUUGACCACCGUCUGCCACCACCACCACCACCCUUUGACCACCGUCUACUUCCACCCUAUGACCACCAUUGUUGAAAUCUAAUUCUAACCUCAAAUCAAAACCAAGAGCUUAAACUUAAAAUCUAACCUGCAACUCAAAAUUUUCAACACCUUCAUCUUCUUCAAAAAUCCAAACCCAACUCAUCCAUUACCCAUUUUCUCCUCACAUACGUAUGUACAUACACCACACAAUCGGAGAUUUGGUUCCCAGUUUACAAACCCAGAAAUUUGCAGACCCAUCUCCAUCUAUGCACCAACCAUCACCUCUAUUACCCUCCUAUAUCAACCUCCAUCGGUUCAACAAACCUUACACCACCAGGCAUCACCUCCUGCAUCAUCUUCUUUACAUACCCACCUUCCUUACCUUAUUCUUGAUUCAUUUUUUUAGACUUGUUGCCACCAGGUUUGUCACACCCCAAAACCACGAACGACAGAAACGUUCAGGGGUGUAGGACGUCAUGUACAGUAUCACAACAGUGUAAUAUAAUAAACAAGCAACAACAUCAUCCAUUGCAUUAUAAGUAAAGUUUUAAUACAUGUGUGUUCUUUCAUUGUGGUAAGACACCAAAAAUAUACAAUCAAAAUAAAAGACGAGACUUGACUGCUCCGUCUUCUCAAAACCUGUCCUCCGUACCUGUCUAGUGGCGACCUGGGAACACAAGUUAUUUUGAAAGAGAGUAUCAGCUUUAAAGCUGGUGAGUUCAUAAGUAUAUAAGUGUCAUUGCUUUAUUUGUGGAAAAUCUGUUAUGAAAGCCAUGUAAACCUUUAAAUGAAAACGUUGUGUUAAGUAUGAAAUCCCUAGAAAAACCCUUAUUUUCUAUAAGUAUGAAUUGUAGUCUUCUACCAAGACUCGAAUGUUUUGUAUAAAUGAAGUGUAGUCUUCUACCAAGACUCGAAUGUUUUGUAUGUAUGAAGUGUAGUCUUCUACCAAGACUCGAAUGUUUUGUAUGUAUGAAGUGUAGUCUUCUACCAAGACUCGAAUGUUUUGUAUGUAUGAAGUGUAGUCUUCUACCAAGACCCAAAUGUUCUAUUUGUAAAAUGAUAGUUUUUCCUUUCUAUUGACUAGUACCAAGUACUUGGUCUAACUCCUCGUUUAUGUGAAAGCUAUCACAAAAUAAAGUAAACAGGAAAAAUAUAACCGUGUAAGUGUUAGCCGGAGGUACUGGUGCUAACAAGACAAAUGUAAAUGUUGACCCGAGGUACUAGGGUUAACAUCUUACAUAUAACCUAAUGGACAUCCGAAGAUUGUCCAAUUUUUCCUCUGUAGCAGCAGCAGGUGGAAGGAAUGGUUAGUCCCUGUAAAGGUACUCCUAGUAUAAGUAUUAACCGUAGGCAUCCGUAGAUGUUCAUUACCCACUGUUGCUAACAGAUGGGUUCCGGAAUGGUUAGUCCCGUACAUAUAUCCCGAGGUACUGUGGGAUAGAGGCCCAUCUAGGUAUCCCGAGGUACUAUGGGAUAGGGUCCUGUCUUAAAUAUUCCGAGGUACUGUGGAAUAAGUAGGAAGAUUUACACAGAAGGUACUAAUAAAUCAUCCUCGUAAUUCAAGAUACAAGUAAUCCUGUUAAUGUACACAGAUAAGUAUAUCUAUGGAAAGGCACUCAUGUAAUGUGUUCAUGUAAUCGUGUUCAUGUAUCAUGUAAGUAUAUGUAAAGGUACUCAUGUAUCAGGUAAACAUCUGUAAGUACUCAUGUAUUAGGUAAACAUCUGUAAGUACUCAUGUAUCAGGUAAUGUACUAGUAUAGACUCAUGAAUGAACUGACUCUUGUGUGACUUCUUGUAAUAGAAGAAAGGUUUGAUAUCUUCAAAUUAUCCCUAUGAUAAUCUACUGUAAUGUAACUAGUUGCUUAUGUAAGUUUACACACUCUUACAAAUCAAAGGUGUGAGAAACUAAAUGAAAGAUGCGACUAUAACAUUAAUACCUAUAUAGGAACAUAAGUGUAUAUGCAUAGUUUAGUUCAAGAAUGAAAAAUGGUUUUGUAAAACGGUUCAUGGGUUUUGAACAAUAAAUAACAAUGACUUGAUGUCAUUUGAAUACCCAUUUCAAAAGUAAAACAUUUGGUAACAAUGUGCUUUUAGGAUGUAAAACCAUUUCAUGCAUCACAUUUUGUAGCAUGUGAAAUCUGUUAAAUGACAAACACAGUUAUAAAAUACAUAUCAAUGAUUUAAUAACAUGUUUGUUUGUACUUGUAUUCCCCCCCCNCCCCCCCCCCCCAUUAAAGCAUUUAAACUCAUUUAAAACGUUGAUUAGGGGUAUGAACUCACCUGAGGUGAGCUGUUUGAAUUCCAGUGUCGGAUACCGUGCUAGGUGGCAAACGGAGACUUGUUUACACGCACGAGCCUAGUUAUCAUAUAAUAAGCAUAUAUAUAACUAAUUAGACAAAUAAUAACUUAAUAAAUAAGUUAUGACACUUAGGAAACAUGUAAACACUUUUCAUAAGUGUUUAAGGUCCAAAUGGUUGCAUCUAAGUUGCUAAGGGACAAGGCAAAAGAGUUUGAAACAUCAAAUGGCCUUGCAUAAGAGGUCACCACCCAACAAACCCCACCCUUUGGAGUUUACGGCCGUAAACUCAUGGGUUUAUGGCCGUGAACUCCUCUCAUGGUGGUUUUGGGUGUUUUAAAGUGCUAUCUUGAUCCUAGAACACUCCUAGCUUUGUUGGAAUAACACAUGAAGUAGUUUAAGGCCCUAGAAUGCUCCAUAGGGGAGUUUACGGCCUAAAGUCCAUUCACCCUAGAGUUUACGGCCGUAAACUCCUAUGGGGUGAUGUCUUUUAAUUGUUUUGAGGCCCUUGCAUGUGUAGGAUAGCUUCCAUACUUUUAUCUAAGGCUAAUGGGGACAAGAGGCACACAUUUGUGCCAUUACUUGGAGUUUACGGCCCAAGAUAUGUUCCUUGGCCGUAAACUCCUUUUAAGGAGUGAUUAUGAUGUGUUUUACUCUUCAUUCAAGUCCCAUGUGUUUAAGGUAAAUUUUCUUAAGGCCUAAGGUGUGUUUGGAAUGCUUUUUACCCUAGAAAAAGGGGUUUACGGCCCAAGAGGGGUUCUUGGCCGUAAACUCCUAUAAACUUGUGAUUUUUAUGGGUUUUGAUGUCCUAAACAAGCACAAGUAUUUGAGGGUUAAAGUCCUUAAGCAUUAGAGGUGGUUUAGGGCACUAAAUGCCCUUGAAAAGGGGUUUACGGCCCAAGGAAGUUCCUUGGCCGUAAACUCCAAUUACUUGGGUUUCUUGGAUGAUUUCUAGCCUAUAAAGAUCAUACACAAAGUCCUUUACAAGUUGUCUAGCAAGGAAUCGGGUCUAGGAAGCCUUAAAGUUCCAUUUUGGAGUUUACUCCCCAAGAACGUUCUUGGGCGGUAAACUCCCGGAUCUUGUAAUCUAAAAUUAGGUAAUUAUUUUAUUUUUCAUUUAAAUUAAAUACAAAAGCAUAAAAAAAUAUAUCAUAAGGGCAUAAUAGUCUUUUCAAUUUACUGAGGGACCAAAAACGCAAAGAAACUAGCUCAAAAUGACUACUAAUCCAAAAAAGUCGUGGUUUGAACUAAAACCUCAAAAAUUUGCAUACCAUAGGGACCAUUUUUGCAAUAUAUAUAUAUAUAUAUAUAUAUAUCUGUGUGUGUGUGUGUGUCUAUGUGUCUGUGAAAGAUUAUUUGACAACUUAUAGUUUCCCGAUAACCCUAAAACUAAAAAUGGACCGCUAGAUCAAAAAAUUUGAUGGUCGAGAUCAAAGAUGGGAAGAUGGUAAACAAAUAUAGCUUCAAUGGUAUAUGUGGGUUUUUAACAAAAAUAAUUAGGGUAAACUAGGUAUAGAUUUACAAAUACCUAAAACCAAUAAUACUAAUUUAUCAUUUAACGAAAUCCAAUCUCUCUGAUCAUAUGUCAUCGGUGAUCCUCACCGGUGACCAAAUCUUCCAUCCCCUCCUCACAUUCUCUCAUCCUUAAUGGAGAUCAAUCUCCGUCUCAUCUUCGACUUCAAUCACCACCCAUUUUUCUACAAACAGUGUCUUUUUGACUUCGUGGGAUGGUACCGGUUGCCUCCGCCUCCAUCUAAUUGUGGAACUAUCUUUGUCUCACCUCUUCCAUAAAUCUCUAUCAACCAAUCGUCGCCUCACCUAUUCCAUUUUAUUUUUAAUCAAUUCCAAAAACUUAGGGCUUGCAAUUGUUUUCUACUCCAUGUUUUCAAUCUUGUUUUAAGAUUCUAAAUGAAUGGAAGAGACUAGCAAUACGGCCAUCACGAGUCAGAAAUUGACACAAGAGUUCGUGAUGGAAGGGCAAAAACAUUUGCAAGAUAUGAUNUUAUUGAAGUAUUAUAUAUUAAUAGAUAUUAUUUUUAAUAUAUAAUAUUAUAUGUUAAUAAAUAUUGCUUUAUUGGAUUAUUAAUUUUUUUAGGUGAUUUUUUUAAUUUUUUUGUUGGAGUAACUCUUUUGUAUUGAAUUAUUAUAUAUCAAUACAUAUAGUUUUUAGUAUAUAAUAUUUAUAUCAUAAUAAAUAUUAUAUUAUUGGAUUGUUAAUUUUUUUUUGUUAGUUUUUGUAAUUCAUUUUUUUAAUUAUUAUUUUAUUGGAUUAUUAUUUUCUUAAAAUACUAAAUAUUGUUUUAUUGGGUCAUUAAUUUAUUUUACUUAAUUCUAUUUUUUUUUUUUUAAAAAUUUGUCUACGUAAUUCUUUUUUAUUGAAUUAUUAUAUAUCGGUACAUAUAGGUUUUAAUAUAUAAUAUUUAUAUCAUAAUAAAUAUUUGUAAUUUCUUUUUUGUUUUCUUGAAUAAUUAUUUUAUUGAAUUAUUACUUUUAAUUUAUUAUUUUUUUAAUAUAAUAAAUAUUAUCUUAUUGGAUUAUUAUUUCAUUUUUAAUGUAUACUAUUAAUUCUUUUUAAUUUUAUUAGCUUCACCAUAAAGUCGCCAAAAUACGUAAAAGUGUCGCUUAUCAUCGUCAAAAAUUGGCAGGAUCACCUCCAAAAACCUUCAUCAGAGGUUCAAUAGAUACCCUACCCUAUUCCACCCAGCGUUGCUGGUAGCCACCUGCGACAACCUCUUCAUAAUCCACUGGAAUCCUUCAUAUCUGUUGGAACCUGAAAGUAAACGUCUAGCAAUCUCUAACUUCUGUUGUUCUGAAGUCAGACUUAUAUCCAAAAUGGUUAGGGUACGAAAUGGUGGUUGAAGUUUGGAGUGGAGUUCGUGGUACGAGAUGAAGAGAUGUUCUGAGAUAGUGUAUCCGUCUGUGCAUUAAUUAUUCUUCUCUUUUACUUGAUGUAACCUUACAUAGGACUUAGUCUUUUUGUCAAUUGGGAUAAUCGAAGUGUCAGAAGUAACUUGUUUAUCCAGUCCUUUGUAUGCAUUUCGGUCUGUAUGUUGUAUCUCAUUUUUCUAUAUAAGGAGUGUUUAAUGACAAGAAUAAAUGACGGUUUAGUACUCCAAAGAUAGUUAUAUUUGAAUUUACUUCACUUUCACUUUUCUGUCAAAUCAAACUCUUUCAAACAUUAUGCUUGUUCAUUUAUUGUCUUUACCUUGAUUAUACUCAUAGUUCCUUAUUUUAUACUUGAAGUACUUUGUUGAUUUGUCUAUUUAGUCUCGACUGGUCUUGCCAGACUUGACAGGAACACUUAAUUAGAAGCAGACAUUGAUCUUAAGCAUUAACUCAAGGUUUGAGUUUUUGAACCUUUUCCCUGCGCAUUGUGUCUUUGUUCUCAUAAUAUCCCACAUAAUGCGCAACAAAUGCUUAUAACAAUUAUAAGUGGUGGUGGUGACCGAGGGAUGAUGGUGGUAUUUUCCCUACGGUUUCUCAUUAUAAGCUACGUGAAAUAAAGGUGUUUGGUAGUGAUCCUAACGAUUUUGAUAAUGAGAGACGACGAUUUUGCGUAUCUCGCGACUUUGUGGUGGAACCAAUAAAAUUAACAAGAACUAUUAUUAUAAAUUAAAAAUAAAUUUAUAAUCCAAUAAAAUAAUAUUUAGUAUAGGAAGAAAAUAAUAAAUUAAAAGUAAUAAUCCAAUAAAAAAAUAGUUUAAAAAUAAGAAAUUAGAAAAAUUAACUAAAAGAAAAUAAUAAUCCAAUAAUAUAAUAUUUAUUAUGAUAUAAAUAUUAUAUAUUAAAAACUAUAUGUAUUGAUAUAUAAUAAUUCAAUAAAAAAGAAUUAUUUCAACAAAGUUUUUUUUUUAAAAAAAGAAUUAACUAAAAUAAACUAAUAAUCCAACAAAACAAUAUUUAGUAUAUGAAGAAAAUAAUAAAUUAAAAGUAAUAAUCCAAUAAAAAAUAGUUUUAAAAAAAGAAUUAAAAAUAUUAACUAAAAGAAAUUAAUAAUCCAAUAAUAUAAUAUUUAUUAUGAUAUAAGUAUUAUAUACUAAAAACUAUAUGUAUUGAUAUAUAACAACUCAAUAAAAAGAAUUACUCUAACAAAAAAAAAAGUUAAAAAAAUCAACUAAAAUAAAUUAAUAAUCCAAAAAACAAUAUUUAUUAAUACAAUAUUAUAUAUUAAAAAUAAUAUUUAUUAAUAUAUACUACUUCAAUAAAAUAUGUAUGCAAAAAUCGUCCUUAUAGUAUGGUAAAAAACAAAACUGUGAAAUGAUCCCUAAGUGUAAAAUUUUCAUUUUAAAAAAGUUAACAGCCAACAAGUUAAACUUAACGGAUGUGGGACCUAAACCACAAUAAAACUUGUUGAAAAGGACCAAAUUUGCAACUUUUCAAACGUUUGGACCAUAACCACAUAAAAUGAAAAACCACAGGGACCAUUUUUGUAGUUUUGUCGUGGAUAAAUGGAAUCACUUUUUGGGGAUUGGGACCUAUUUUAAAUAAAGAAUUGAAAAAACUGCAAAAAUGGUCCUUGUGGUAUGUAAUUUUUUGGGGUUUUAAUCCAAAUCACGACCUUUUUGGAUUGGUGGUCCUUUUGAGCUAGUUUUGUUGCAUUUUUGGUCCCUCGGUAAAUUGAAAUGACUUUAAUACCCUUUGGUAUUUAUUUUCUAUUUUUAAUUUCAUUUUUUAAAAAUUUAAUUAUUAUUUAUUAAUUUUAAUUAUUAAAAAAGUUAGAGUGCCUCUCUCUCUCUCUCUCUCUCUCUCUCUCUCUCGUCUCUUAACCUCUGGCCAAAGAAGAAGAAAUGUGACCUUCACCAGCGAUGGCAACCCUCCUCCCAUUCCCUUUAAUUUCAUACUCCGGCUACCAAACACCUCCUGUCCGGAGCAACUACUGUUGCUCUGCUUCCCUUCGUUUGUUAUUACCGGAGAAGAGAAAAAGGACCCACAAGGGUCGUCGAAAAAGGGCAAUAAUCUUCUUCUGGCUAAGCCCUCAUCACAACUGAUUAAACACCACUGUAAUCACCCCGUAUGACAGUUGCACCAUCGAAGGUUGGAGUACCGAGAGAAGCAGCUCACCAGAAGAACCGACUGCUCUUCCUUCUUCCACCGAUGGCAGUCACCCUCUCACUAUUUGUUGUCAUUCUGUUAUGCUUCCCCUUAAUUGGACCAUCGAUCACGAACAAAUAGACCAAGGAGGAGCUUGUCGGAGCUCCUUAUCCUUUUUCUCCUUUAUUUGCUCACUAUUUACUGAUGUUUCACUUUCUGAAAACCUAAUUUUGACAAUUAUGAUGCACAUGGCUUGAUAUAAACAUAUAUGAGACUUGCUGAAUCCAUCGAUCGUGAGUCUCACAGAGUUGAUUUCUUCACCUAGGGCUUGAUAUGAGCAUCUUUGAGAAGGUUUUCAGAUGACGAUAAAGAUAAAGAUGGAUAUGUUUAACCAGAUUCUUGGAAGACUUGAUUUCAUCAUUGAAGAAUGGCAAAAAAAAAAUUGACAUCGAGAAUCAGAAUGGGCUUUAGGGGUGAAGACACCAUUGAAGCAUUAUCUGUUAGUGAGGUGAAUUGUGGGGGAUGGUGUGACAUCCCCAUUUUCACGGCCAGAAAAGACCGAUUUGUUUAUGCUUUGUUUUAUAAAAUCAGAGUAAUCUUUUAAAGAAAAUGGUUGCGGAAUUUGUUCCCAAAACAAGAUAUGAUAAUAACUUAUCAAAACAUUUCUCAAGGAGAAUGUAUUUUCAUUUAAUAAUAAAACCUCGGGAUGUCAUGUUCCGAUACAGACAUAAAAGCAUAAACAGAACUUACAUUCAAUUACACUAAUGAUUUAUAACUCCUUUAAAUCUCUCUGUGAAAUAUGUCUUCGUAUCGAUACCUGUGAUACAAAGAAAACUGAGUGGGUCAGGCUUGGGAGCCUGGUGAGCAUAUAGGGUUUUCAACCCACAAUAAUAUAAUUAUUAUAUUUAAUUAUCAAACAAUCAAUUCAAAUACCCACCCCCAUUAUCUCCAUUUAUUUCUUAAAGAUUUAUCCUAAGAAUCAAUUACCCUUCUCCCAUUCAUUCCUAAGGAUUGCCCUAAGGAACUGACACAAUGUCUAGUGCUGCCAAGGUUCUUAGAUUACCUCUAGUGAACACGCAAUUCACAAUAAUUAAUGAACACCUAAUGAACACUUAGUUUCAAUAUUACCCAAUGAACACCUAGUUCACAAACACUUAAUGAACACUUAGUUCAAUUAUCUCUGAUGAACACUAAAUUCAAAUAUCUAAUGAAUACUUAGUUCGAAUAUCCCUGGUGAACCCAAUCACCUAAGGAACACAGAGUAUGAAAGCUCUUAGUUCAAACAACGUGAUAAUAAAGUAUAUCUCGAUCCUGCAAAAUCACUAAUAUUAUAAACACAUAUAAAUUAUAUUUCUAAAACAAUAUAUCCCAUCCCGUCGAUCCCCACAUACUGACCCUAUACUAUGAUCUUACGAGAUCUAGCCUAAGGAAUCGGUAUGAACAACAAACUGACGAAGCUGCUUCGGAAAUUCCCUAGCAGCAAACGAGGAUCAAUAAAGACAUCAAAUGAGGGGAAUAGAAUGAGUUUCACCACGAACCUUCGUUCGUAAAACAAAGAACCACAAGACAUUUUAAGUCAGGGGUAGUUAUCUAGAUAACAAUGCCUAGGCGUGGUCUGACUAUCAUGAGGUAUUAUACCCCCAGACUUUACCUAUCCCAGCAUCGAACUUUGCCUAGCAGUGGCCUGAAUACAUGAGGUAUUUAACCCCCAAACGCACCCUAUCCAGCAAUAUAAUACCAAACAUACCUAGCAGUGGUCUAUAACCGACAUACUUUAAUAGGUAGUCUACGAAGUUCCCUUAAUUAUUUCGUGAAAGAAAACGCUGACAUAUGAAGCUCGGUCGAUCACUUCAUAAAAGAAACGCUGACUCCAAAGCUCUCUCAAAAUAAAACUAUUGGGAAAUACUACUAGAGUACUCUUGUACGCUCCCGUAACCGACACACAAAAUUGUCAAAAAGACUUUGUACAUGAUAGUACUUCUGGCACAUUAUAGUACUUUGGUAUGCGACAGAAUCGUACCCGAGAACAUAAUAGUACCCUGGCACAAGCAGCACCCAAGACACAGAGCUUUGAAAAAGACUUCGUACAUAAAAUGUACUUCUGUACGUAGGACGUACUCCACCGAUCAUCAAUCUAACAACACACAUACUCUUAAUAAGAGACUACCCAAUGUCCAAACUUAAUUGAACUAAACAUCCCAUUUAGGUCUUAACCCAUCACUAGACAAACCUACAAUACUUAUAAUCAAUUCCCGAUACUAUCUCCAUUUAGGAAAAAGAUUAACUAGUGUAUACUUAACAUAAGGUUUUAAGUAAUAAUAUCAUAUAUAUACAUCUUAACACAUAUUGAACCAUAUCUGAUUCGUACGUUGUAUAUCAUCAAAUAUAUCUAACACGUAUUUCAGAAAAUAACAAAUACUUCACAUACAUAUGUAUAUUUCAUACUUUAAUCAAUUCUUGUAUUAAAAUCACGUUCCUAAAAGGGACUAUACACAUGAUACCUUAUCGAAUGAACACGUAAUUCAAAAAUAAAUAAUCCGUACUCCCGGAUCUAAAACUAACCUCUUGAUCUGAUCCCUACUCUCGGAUCUAAAACUAAUCUCUUGAUCUGAUCCAUACUCUCGGAUCUAAAACUAACCUUUUGAUCUAAUCCAUACAUCCAGAUCUAAAACAAGUUUAUCUCUUUAUUCUUUUAUCUCAUGGUCCAACCCAUAUUUUAUCACCUACCAACAACCUCAUCUACUCAUGUUCUACCCAACAUAUCUUUAGAUACAAAAUACGUAUAUAGUUUAACUCAUUAAAACUUAUAUAAUUCACCCGUUCCACAAUCAUCUCAAAUAAACAACAAAAUAUUAUAUACGUAGCACGUAUUUCAUAGCAAAUACUUAAUAUUUAUGUGUUAGAAGAAAGUGACCACACACUCACUUGAUUAGAAGAUGAUCGGACAGCACUACGGCUUGCAGAAGUAGUAAUCCUCAGCAGAUCUGGAAGAUCUCUUCAAAAAUCGAACUUCUCGCGGGCAGAGCUUCGGCUCGGGAACCGCACUUCUCGGGAUCUUCGGGAUCUCGGGACUUGCCUCGGGGCUCGAGCAUGAUACCGGGGCUUCGGGGUAUUUCUGGCACGCAAAACGAUGCAAAAACGCAAGAAAAAGGGAAGAAAUGAGCAAAUGAAUCGGCUGCACUCGACUCCCUUUUAUAGGGUCUGGAAGGCCGAUUUACGCGGGGCGUAAGUUUCAGUACGCAGGGCGUAACGACGAUAAGGUCGCUGACUCCCCCCAUGGAUAAUAUCAGCCAAUUUUUAUUUAAAUUAAAUAUCGAAUUUAUUAAAUAAACUUCAAAAAUUCAUAUCUUCCUCAUACGAACUCCGUUUUCGACGUUCUUUAUAUCCACGCGUAGGUGAGACUACGAUCUACAACUUUCGUUUAGACUCCGUCGGCUAAUUUUGACUUUAUUUUUAUUAUUUAUUUUUAGUAGGCCGGGACAGGAAAACUCCGUUAUAAANGGAAAUUCAUAUCUUCUUCAUACGAACUCCGUUUUCGACGUUCUUUAUAUCCACGCGUAGGUGAGACUACGAUCUACAACUUUCGUUUAGACUCCGUCGGCUAAUUUUGACUUUAUUUUUAUUAUUUAUUUUUAGUAGGCCGGGACAGAAAAACUCCGUUAUAAAAUCAUAACUUCUUCAUCCGACGUCCGUUUUCGCCUAUCUUUUUAUCAUUUUACUACAAUUAAUGAGAUCUUCAAUUCUCAUUUAGAUUGUUUUAGCUAAAAACCGCUCGGUCUCAAAUCGAGUAUUCGGGCUGCAUACCGCUAAGUCGAAACUUCGAAAAAUCAUAAUUUCCUCAUACAAAGUCAGAUUUGGGCGUUCUUUUUAUGCACGCUCAUGGUUUAACGUAUUCUACGACUUUCAUUUAGAUUGCUAAGGCUAAAUAUCGCUCUAACGUAAAUUCACUUUUUACGUCGCGCUGUGUCGUGCCGGUUCUGUCGCGAAACUUCGACAGGUCAUAACUUCUUCGUUAUAACUCGGAUUUCGGCGUUCUUUAUAUGUACGGAAUCCUUGUAACAUAUAUUACAACUUAGUUAAUAUUAUUCAUUCUAAAUAAUCUUUUAUCAAAAAGUCAUUUUUGAUGCUUAUCGUCUCUAAAUUGACUAGCCCUUAUCUACGGGCGUUACAGAUGGUGAGAGAGAGAGAGAGAGAGAGAGGGAGAGAGAGNUGGUGAGAGAGAGAGAGAGAGAGAGAGAGAGAGAGAGAGACCUUUUUUAUUUUUUUAAUUAUUAAAAUAAAUAAAUUAGUAUUAGAAUUUAAAGUAAAUGAAAGAAAAAUGGAAAAUAAAUAUAUUAAAGCUAUUUCACUAUUCAGAGGGAUCAAAAACGCAAUAGAACUACCUCAAAAGGACCACCAAUCUAAAAAAGUAAUGGUUUGGACUAAAACCCUAAAAAAAUUGCAUACCACAGGGACCAUUUUUGCAAUUUUGUCUAAAGAAUUUAACAAUGGGGGCAUUUUAGUCAUUUCAUAAUUAAAAUGACUUAGGGUUUUAUGUCAGGUGUUUAAUGGUCCACUUAAAAAAAGAAUUGUGCUCGUUUGAUUGAGCAAAUGGGAAGAACGACUGUAACAGACGAACGAAGAGAGGAAAGCGAAAGCUCGUAGGCGGCACAUCCGGAGGUCUUGGGUCGAUGGAUCGUAAAGGGAGUGUCUCCGAGGGUUAAACGAGGCCGAAGGGGAAGGUGGGUGAAGCAGUGAGGCUUCCCUCUUCUCGUUCGGCUGCGGGGAGCGAAUUCCGGGUGUCGCAAGCAGCAAUAGCUUCGAAGCAAGCGAGGUUUCCGGAGGUUUUGCUGGACCGGAGAAGGGGAUAUGUGCGAGAGGUUCAAUCAGUGGGAAGGAGGGGUUGCGAUGGGGCAGAGAAAUCAGCGACGGCAGGGGUGGUUUGGACCUGCCGUGAAAUCGACGAAGGGAAGAGGUCAGAAGAGGGGUCCGAUAAGAGAUAUGCAAUGGCAAUCGAUUGAGCUGCUGAGAGGGAAGGGGAUGUGCGAGAGGUGGUGACAGGUGCGUGAAUGAGGGCUGCUCCAGCAGCGCCCCUGAUCUUCUUCUUUGUUUCUUUGUUUCUUUUUUUUUUUUUUUUUUUUGAUAGAAAUCAUUGGGGGAAAAAGAAUUGAUCCGGUUUGGUGUGCUCAUCUUGAACAGGUGGAGAAAGGGGGUUGACUGGAAACAUAUGGCGAACAGGGGGGGUGUUUGGCUCGUGGUCUUCGAUGGAAGGAGGGGUGUUUGGGGACUGAAAAAACAAGGCAAACAGGAAGAGUUCCUCUUUUCUUUUUUUUUUUUUUUUUUUUUUUUUU
rnacentral:lncRNA from 1 species